UAUCAUUGUCAAAGUCUACAAUCAAGAGCCACCUUCAUGAAUGUAAAUACAGACGGUUUACCUCAAGAUGCA